rnacentral:lncRNA from 1 species
UUUUUUUUUUUUUUUUCGUCUUUUUGCCUUUUCUGGGGCCCCUACUGUGGCAUAUGGAGGUUCCCAGGCUAGGGGUCGAAUCAGAGCUGUAGCCACUGGCCUACGCCAGAGCCACAGCAAUGUGGGAUCCGAGCCGCGUCUUCAACCUACACCCCAGCUCAUGGCAACGCCGGAUCCUUAACCCACUGAGCAAGGCCAGGGAUCAAACCUGCAACCUCAUGGUUCCUAGUCAGAUUCGUUAACCACUGUGCCAUGAUGGGAACUCCUGUACAGAGUUUUUAUAAUUUCUUUAGAGCAAUCUGUCUGGACCUUCAUAUUUCUUGUUUGAAUUGAUCCUUCCAGCUGUCAAACAUGUCCAGAGAAUGCUGCUGUUCCCAUAUGAAUGAUCAGUUUAUUUGAAAUUAAAUGCAACAAUAUUUGCUGAAAUCUGGGAUAAUCUCAGGCUUCUGUCACCUACACUCCCAUUUUACAUAUGAGGAAAUUGAAAUCCAAGAGUGGCUGGGUGUUAUGCAGAUAACAAGUAAACUUGGCACAGCCCCCAGCUGACAAUAGAUGCUCACCUUAUAUUGGGUGAAUAAAGAAACAAACAAAGCCAGUUGAGGAAAGUGACUUUCUGGAUUCCCCAGCAACAGUUGUCUCUUUUCAGAGAGCUGUUCUGCUGAUGCUUUCAUGUUUGACACUAAGAUAUUUAUUAUCUGAGACAAAACUGCAAUGCAUGAUGAAUUUCAGGGUAAAUUCAGUGUGGGCUAAGGAAAAACCACAAGACUUGAUAAGUCAGCCACUCUUCUGCUGAUAUGCUGGGAGGCACAGAAAAUACAACAUAAUUUUCACAUCCAAAGGAAAAAAGGCAAGUGCAAAAGCAAUCCAUGCAAAUACUAAUACUUUCAUGAAAUCAGCAUAAGAAAGAAUGUAUUGAUGAGUAAGAUUCCAAAGGAGGAAAAAUAUAUACCACACACAUACCCACACACCCUGGCAGCAUAGAAGGGUUCUUACCUUAACUACCCACCUCACCACACUUAGUGGUGAUGAUCAGAAACAGUGACAAACAUUAUCCUCAAGCAGCUUUUUAUUACAUUUUGAUAACAUUUCUGGAGGUGUUUAGAGAUCUUUCCACUUUAUAGAGCAGUUUGGUAAUAGACUAAUUUGUACUUUAUAGGAAAAACACUGUUAGCAUACACAUAUUUAUAACACCUCUGGUUUUAAAAUUUUACUAUGGAAAUUGAGACUGUAUAAAGCACAGCUAAAAAUGAAGACUUAUGCCCAAGUCUCAUGAAAAUUAUAAUGACAGGACUGCAGCUAGAGGAGCUGCAAAAAGGAAUUCAACUUUCACCAUUCUCCAAUUAACCUUGCUGAUAUCCAUUAAACAUACCAAAUAGCUUCAGGCUCCCUUUCAAUCACUCUGGCCAGAUAAAAUGUAACAUCUACAUUUAAUGACAGGGUUUUUCUCAAUACAAUUUCCUGCAUAUUAAUUAAAGGAUGGGGGGGCGCAACAGGGUCAAUUUCUUUGAGAGUUUCCAAAUUCUUAUACUGAAGCUGAUACAUUUUUUCGGAAAUGACAGCAUUUUGCUUUCUGCUAAAGUUAAGUGAAUGCGUAGAUAGACACAGUGAGUCAGAGGCCAAAUAAAUGCACUAUAAUGUACUCUUGUUUUGGAAUGCCAUUAUGCAUAUAGUCUACAUAACCCAAAAGAAUAACUUAACAUCUACACAGGGAUUGUCAAGAACCAGCACAUAUGAGCACUUUACAAGCAUAAUUGUACCUUUCCAUCUCACAAAUGAGGAAACUGAGGCUGGGAGCAGGUCAUAGAUAUGCCAUAGGUUACGCAUUCAGACAGUGGAGGGGCUUACACUUGAACCCACUCAGACUCACUCUAGUGCUUAUUAAACAAUAUUGCCUCUGACAGUCAUAAUACAGGGGUUUCUAAACUGCAUGUUUAGUAGUUACUGAUACUACUAUUUAUAUGAUAUUCUUUAACCAUGAAGGAUCACCCUGAGAAAACAGAUCUAUGUCCCAAUGCCUUAAACAAUGACCUCUGAAAGCAGUGGUAAUAUUUGCUACUAAUAUUUUAUCCCCACCCCUACAACCAAAGGUACUGGGAAAAUACCUAAUUCAUCCAUUUAAUAACCCCUGUCUCUCACUGGUCAUCUGGAAGCAUCUUCCAGGGGACUGUUGCCUCACAGUUGACCUUGAAUUAAAAUGGAGCCAUAAUUUUGUGAGGACAAAAGUAUAAUAGGAGAGUUAAGACAUGUUAAAUGGACCUGCUCUUGAAUUGAGCUUCUGUGACCAAGCAAUUGGGAGCCAGUUACCUUCCUUUUCUCAUUAUCAGUUUCUGCAUCUGUAAAUUAGUUAAUAUUAUUAUUAUUAUUAUUAUUAUUAUUAUUCCAACCCCAGAGUUGUUUCAAAGAUUAAAUAAGCAUGCAUAUAUAUAUAUACACACACACACAUUAAAUAUACAUAUACUCUUUAUACAUAUUAUAAAUAUAAUAUAUAUUAUAUAUAAUAUGUAUAUGCUCUCUAUAUACACACGUAUAUGUAAAUAGUACUUUUGGAGAUGGGAUUAAGAUGGCGGAAUAGAAAGACUGGAGCUCAACUUCUCUCCUAAAAACAACAAAAUUCACAACUAAAGACUAAGCAUUCUUCACUCGAACGGACCAGAAACCUUAAAAAAGAUAUCCUACUCCAGAAGACAAAGAGGAGGCCACAGGAGGGGUGAUUUCAUGAAAUAAACAACCCCAUACCUUCCAAGUGGGAAGCCCCACAGACUGGAAAGUAACUGGUUCACACAGACUCAUCUAUAGGAGUGAGAGUUCUGAGCCCCACAUCAAACUCUUAAGUGUGGGGAUAUGACAUGGGGAGAAAGAGUCUCUGGAGCAUCUGGCAUUGAAGGCCAGUGGGACUUGUGUGCAGGAGCUCCACAGGACUGGGGUAAAUGGAGACCCCAUUCUUAAAACAUGCACACAGACCUUCAGGCACACUGCGUCCCAGGGCAAAGCAAAGUCUCCAAGGGAAUCUGGGUCAAAACUGACUGCAGUACCUGGAGGACAUCCUGGGAAAACAGGGGUGAAGGUGGCUUAUUGGGGGGGAAGGACAUUGGAAGCAAAGCUUUCUGGAAUAUUCCGCAGCAUGCCUUUCUCAGGAGGGGGCCAUUUUAGGAAAAUCUGGCCCUACCCAUCAGUCAGUGCUGAGAAGCCCCACGGCAAACAACAACCCAGGUGGGAUCAUAGCCCUGCCCCUCAGUAAACAGGCUACCUAAAGACCCCUCAGGCACACAGCUGCCUCAAAUCCCAUCCAGAGACUAAGCCCCACCCACCAGAGGGAUUAGAAUAAGCACCAUGCCACUGCCACUUACCAUGGGCAGGCAUCAGCCCCUACCAUCAGGGAGCCUAGAGCAAGCCCCCAUACCAACUUCAGCCACAACGGGGGCAGACACCAGAAGUAUGAAAUGCUACAACUCUAUUAUCUGGAAAAAUGUUACCACACCAAAAACUGAUAAAAAUGAAAAGACAGAGAACUAUUACUCAGAUGAGGGAGAAAGGAAAAACCCCAGAAAAUCAGCUAAGUGAUCAGGAGAUUCUCAGCCUCCAGGAAAAA